AAGGCUGGUAGGAUUCCCUUUUGUUUAUUAUCUGAAGGACCGCCUGGUGACAACGUGAAGUCUCACCUGUUAUUUCUCCUUCUGAAACCGCGGCAUUUCGAAAAUCUAUAAUCCUUUGUAGACUGUACUGAUUGCUGUCUUAGCCGUUCAGCGCGUCCAGUUUCAGUUGAAAAUGGUUCACGCCUUCACGGCAGCACAGGUAAAAAGACAUCCCGUGUGAUGGUAAUCUGACGAGAAGGGUCACUUGUGGACACUGAAAUUGACGUGAAACCUUGUGGUGUAAUCCAUGCCGAACUCCCAAUCAGUGGUAGGGGCAAGAGGUAUUGUGUGUCUGCUGCUGCUUCGCAGGCGGGGCUCUGACGGCGAGCACGCAGCAGGCCUAGCUGCACUACAGCUACAGCGCGGACAGGUCGGAAGCCGCCUGCGCUGCGCCCGGAACCAGAGGUACCCUUUGCAUAUUCCUUACGUGUGCAUGCACUUGUCUUAGAGCAUCUCCAACAGCCGCGCAAAAAGGCGCGCGCGCUAAAUAUCAGUUUUACCGCGCACGGUGCAGAAAGGCGCGCUCCAGCGGCGGCGGAAAAACCGCGCGCGGGAACCGCUUGCGCGCGCGCGAAAUGGCGGCCUCUCGCGCGCCAUUUUUGCGGCGCCGCCUCUCGCGCGCCAUUUUUGCGGCGCCGCCUCCCGCGCGCCUAUAAAAGGCAGCGCGCGCUCCCUCGCGCCACCGCUCCACGCGCGCUCUCUCUCUCUCUCUGCCUCUCGCGCCGCCGCCGCCCCAGCGCUCCGCCGCCGCCCCAGCGCUCCGCCGCCACUCCAGCGCACCGCCGCCCGACGCGCCACCAUGCCGUCGCGCCGCCGUUCUGCGUCGGGCUACCGCGACGUCCGCCAGCGCCCCCACGGCGCCUUCUACGCCGAGAUACGCUCCGGCGAUCUACGGCUUAGCCUCGGAACAUACGACAUGGCGCACGAGGCCGCCCGCGCGUUCGACGCGGCGGCGUGGCGCCUAGGUAGGCCGCGCCGCCAAAUGAAUUUCCAGGACGUCCAGACGCUCCAGCAGGCGUUAGACCUCGCCCCGCCGCCUCGUCUGAACUCCGCACAAGAUCGUGCGGAGCACAAUGCGCUGCAGCGCCGCCUCCUCGUCGCCCAGGAGGACGAGCGGGUCAUGGCGGAGUGGCGUCGGCGCCACCCGGAGGACGUCGCCUACGAGCAGCAAUAUUGGGCAAGUCGCCGCGAGGAGGACACGCGCCGGCGCCGCGAGGAGCGUUUGGAUAGGCGUCGUCGGAAGGCGUUGGCGUGUGCGCAGGCCGACCUCGUCAAUGCAGGCGGGAGGUCCUUCUUCACUGAAGAAGAUGAGCGUUGGUUGGACUGCUGGCUGUCGACCUCUGACGACACCAACGACGACGACGAUGGUGCAGAUGACUGGAGCGACUGGGAUUAGUUUUUUUUUAUAUGUUUUCGAACUAUAUAGCGCCAAAUAACUAUCUAUGUUUUCCAACUACCUAUCUAGUUAUAAUAUAAACUUUGUAUCCUUUUUAUUUGAAUGCAAUCUAUGUAUUAAAAAAAUAUUGUGCGCGCUGCAUUUUUGGGCACUGCUGGAGCGGCGCGCGCGCUGCAUUAUAGCGCGGCUGUUGAAGCCAGCGCCUGUCCCCGCGCUAAAUCAGCCGAAGCGCGCGCGGCAAAUGCAUUUUUUGGGCGCGGCGCGUAGCGCGGCUGUUGGAGAUGCUCUUAGGCAAAGUAUAGGGGCGGAUCUAUAUAUAGCGCGCGUAGAUGGUGAAGGUCGUCCCUUCAGGUUUUUUUUUCAUUUCACGAAUACGCAAUGCUUGCAUAUCAUUCCAUUCCAUUGAUGAAAGAAACAGAAAGAGUACAUACAGGUACAAAACAUGACAUGGAUGCGGACAGACGCGAACAUGAUGUCCGGAGCAGAGAGACAAGGAAUGCUCGACCCGUAAAGAGGAUACAACACAACUAAACCAACCAAACCCAAACCAAAAGCGAUGAUGCCAAACCAACAGGAACUCCAACAUCUAUUGAGCCAAAACCGGGGACACCGCGAGCGACAAGAUAGUGCCUUCAGGAAGGAAUACGACAUCGAGACACCGUCACUAUCCGGUCCGGAGAACCCGGACCUAGGGUUUCCCCUGAGCUCGAAGAGGGGCUUAGCUGAAGACCUUGACAGCGCAUCCAAGAUGGAAACGACACCCACGGACGCCGCCACUGCCAGCACCGGCAAGCCGAGCAGGGAUCUCUCCCUGGCCUGAAGCUGAGCGAUCCCAUAGCCACCGGAUCCGGAACCGUAGAUGGGGAGGCCAACGCUGGUCGGAACCACCAAGAUAGGAAGGGGUUGGCGGGGCUGCACCUGCCGACGGAGGGUUCCACCGAACCCAUGAGCGUAGGAUCAGGCAAAAGGUGGAGGCUUUGAGGCGUACAUGGUAGGGCGGGCAGCAAGGCGAACAACGCGGUGGUUCUGAGGCGACGAUGUCAAGCAACGCCGACAAGCGAGGACUGGAGGCACGCAGAUCCAAGUUGUUGUGGCCAUAGCCGUCAGGACAUCGACGAACGGAGUGAGCUGGAAGGAACGCAGCUACCCGUCCACCGAGACCGGAGAUGCCCGGAAGGGGACGCCGACAGCGAAAGACACCGGAGGGGCGCGAGCGCAACGUCGUCGGGGCCGGAACAACGUCGGCAAGGACCACCACGAGUAGCCCGGUACCAGCCACAGAUGCUUCGCCGCAUCGCCAAGAGUCGUCCCCAUGGCUCAGGGGGACAGGUGGUGUGUGGUGCCCGUGACGACGACCGGGACUGCCGGAUUCAUCGUCGGCCGACAGGCUCGAGCAGCAGCUGGAGGUGAGAGAGCACCCGAGAUGCGUGUGACAGCCCGAUGCCGACAUUCCAGAAGAUUCCCCCUUCAUUCUGUUUUCGUCGUGUGUCUAUUUCCUUUUGUCGCGUCAUCAUAGCAUCAUUCGCAUCAUCUGCAUUGUAUCGGCAUCUCCGUUGCCGCCAGUUUUCAAACUUGCAUCCGUUGUUAGUUGCCGGUUCACGUCGUUGUCCGUUCUGAGCCCGACCGCACACGCACGCGCCUGCGGCAUCGUCAAAUCCCUGUUUUUAAAAAGUGUGUUGAAAACUUUCUCUAAUCGAGGUGAGACUUGGCAUGCGGUCGUGAUUAGUUAUAGCUAGGCCGCCUGUCGAAUUUCGUCGCGAUCGGAGUUCGUCUGGUACCCGAACGGUCGACCGUAGCAGCACCGUAUUCGGUCUACCGUCGGACGGUUGUCGGUGUUUUAAAAAUUGUUGAUGCGUCGCCCGUUUUCCCUCUCAUCCCUGCUGAGCCCCUCUACACAGUGCUCCGACCAUACGCGUAGCCUAGUCCGGAGACCUCCCGAAACCCGAACCGGGUGCUCGUGACCGUUGGGUCCAGAUCAACCCGGUUUUACUGUAAAUCAUCUUCGGUUUGUCCAUUGGACUCCCUACCCUAAUUAUUUGGACCACGCGAUCUAAAUCGAAAGGUCCAAAUGCCUCUAUACCUAACCCACUAGCUUUAUAGACUACCCUAGCUCAAAUAGACAGAGACCCUAGAAAUUCUCCCCUGUCCUAUCAGCGCCGCCGCCGCAAACCACCUGGUCUUCUUCCUCGUUUUUUUUCCUCCACCCCAAUCAGGCGCCAGAUCCAUUCCUAGCCACCUAGUUUUCCCUGCUAGGCAGCCAGCACGAGAGAGACCCUGCAGGCGCCAGCCUUCCCUCGAUCGCGAGCCGUCCCCGCCGCCAGCUUCGCUCGAUCCUCGAGCCGCGAGUGUCGCGUCCCCAGAUUCCCCCGCCUGCGUUGUUUACCUCGCUGCCAGAUUCAUGCCGCCUCCUUCGAUCGAGGCAUCGAUCCCGCAGCCGGUCGGCUCGUUCCGCUCGAUCUGGAUCGAGCCAGGUCCGAUCGGGACGGGGCGUUGACCGAGGCAUCAGGCCUCCCCGCGAACCUGUGCAGAGCGCCAGCCGCCGCGGCGUCUCGCUCGCUCCCUCCCCCCCCCCGCGUGGGCUCCCACGGUGUCGAGUCUCCCCCGUGUUGACCGACGCCAGCCGUCGCGGCCCAGAGGCCAGCUCGCUCGCCCCCCGCUCGGCUGGGCCAAGGCCGGCCCAGAUCCACUGCGUUGCCUCCCCUCCGGCCCAAGCCAGCUCCAGGCAGCCCAAGGUGAGCACCACCCCCCCCCCCCUGCCCUCUAUCCGGCGCACAUGGCGCGUUAUACCAAAUAGCGCCGCUGCCUGUUAGGCCCGUUAGGCAAUUCGGCCCGAUAGGUUUUUUUUAGAAUUUUCGGAAUUAGAUAAAUUUCAGAAAAAUUAGCGUAUAUUCUUUCGACCGUAACUUUUAUUCCGUAAGUCGGAUCGAGGUGAUCUAUAUAUGGAUUUCGUGUAGUUUUGCGCGUAGAAUCCGUUUAUAAAACUUGCUUAUUUGUUUGACGUUGUUUGACGUGUCGAAUGCCUAGGUUUACAUGUUGUCUAGAUAGGAUAGACGCCGUAUUUAUUUUUCGCGCAAGACCAUAUAGCCCGAAUGCCGUAUUAGAAAUGUUCACAUUUUAGGAACCCCAUUGCCAUGUAUUUUAGAGCGGUCAUUUGUAUUUUUGCGUGUAGGGAUUGCCGCUAGUUUAUUUUCCCGUGUACGGGUAAUUUUCUCGCAUUUACGUGUGACAUUAUUUUGUGGCGCAACCCCACAUAUUUUAUAUGUUUUCGGGGUAGAAAAAUCCAUGGGAUUUUUCUAUGCUAUUAGUUUUAGCUUUUGAGUAAGUUAGUUCACGCGAUAUUUUGCCAUGUUGUCCUCUUGUCUUUUUCGUAGGAUUUAUUAUGUGCUUCGUUUGACGGAGUUGUCAACUAGGGAGUUGUUCUUGGAUGUUUACUCUAGCCCCUGGUAUUUUUGGUUGCAAUAGAAAUGCAUGUUUAGGUGUGGUUUGCUUGCUCUCAAGUUGCUAGAAAUAGUGCUGAUUUGGAGGUGCUGAAAUAUUUCUAAGUCUGGAAUCUGUUAUAUUUUGUUGCUGUCUUGUCUUGCUUGUAUCUUGUGAUCUGUAGCUCUUUUGAGGUUGGUGCAAUGGAGUAAGUUGUAUUCCUUGUGUUUCUCUAGUAAGCUGUGAAUUUUCAUGUCAUUUAGAGACCUUUAGCUUAUGGUUUUUCUGCUGCCAAUAAGCCUUCAGACUGAAAACUGCACUUUCAUGAAGUGUUAUUUUUACUAAGUGUGAAAUAGUGUGUGGGAUGCCAUUUUGUGUCUUCUUUCCCUAGUGAUCCAUGAUGCCAUGCUAGUUGUUGUUAGUUGUUCGUAGUAUUGCUUCUUGCCCUCUUUCGUGUCAUGCCUUGCUUGAGUGUAUCGGAGUUGUGUAGCUCGUAGUUGAGGGGUGUAGGAAAUGCUAUGUGGCUGAUUUUGGCAGUUUGUAGUGAUUUCUUGUUUUGCUCGUAGAUGUUGAACCGUAGCUCCGAUUUGAUCGUGUCCUACAUGAAACUUGCUUAGAAUCUCGUGUAGUUUCAUUUUCUCUUGCUGGUUGUAUGUUCUGAAGUGCUCGUGACCGUAGUUGCACACAUAUUGCAUUCAUGCCAUCAUAUCUUGCGGUGCUUAUAUCUUUUAAUACGUAGCUCCGUUGGAGAUGUUCUUUAUGUGUAGUUUGCUUGAAAUGACUCAUAGAAUCACGUGAACAUAUUUGUUUUUCUGUUUAACAACUAAUUAAAUGUGUUAAGUCAGAUCUGGACAGAAUUGUAAAUUAACAUGUGAGGUCGUCUCGGAGAUGCUAUAUGUCAUUUCCGACCUCAUUUAAAAUGCCUAGAAAGGUAGUUUAAUUACACUUCACCUCUUUCCAUGUUUAACCACAUUUAAUAUUGCCGAGUACCUAAUCGGGAUAGAACUAAAUAAUUAAAUGUGGAGUUUCGUCAAUAUGCAACUCGUUGCAUAUUGAACUUCACUUAAUAUGUAGUUUUUGUUUGUCGUGAAUUGUCAUGCGUGUCUUGCAUGUAUUCAGCUGCUCAUGCAUCAUAUGUGUUGUGCAUCGUGUGGUGAAUUCUGUAAGUUGAUUUGUGUUUCUGGUUUGCUUCGUCUCGAUAGAGUUCCGCAGCGUGCCGGAUUGUGAGGACCCGUUCGACUACAUCGGUUCAUCUGCUUCAUGGAGGCAUUCUUCUUCCAAGCGGGAUCUCAGGCAAGAUGACCAUUUCCCCCAGAUACCAUUACUAUCAUUGCCAU
rnacentral:lncRNA from 1 species